AUUCCCUCCAUCUUCUUUUCCAGAAAGCAACGAUUUCUCUCCUCUUCAGUUCCAUCACCAACCAUCGUUACCAUCACCGUCCCCCACCACUAUCAUCAUCACCAGCAUCACUGCCACUGUCUUAUGCAGUCACGGUUAGUUCAUUUUGCUCUCUGGAAAUCGUUUCAUCGCAAUUUCCCGAGCUAUGCCUGAAAGGAAAUCGCCUCAAUUGCAUGUCUGCUAAAUCUUAUGCAGACAUGGUUACUUCCCAUUAAAUCUUCCAAUUGCGUGCCUCAAUUUACUCCAGCCACAGGAUUAAAGAGAAACAAUUGUUCCGCAGUCGCAAGGGAUAUGUUGCAUAGCCUGGAAGAAACAUCUUCACUUUUUGGUGAUUCAAGGUCAAAGGAUGCGAAAACAUUCUAUUCGUGCAAGAGUGGAGGCGGAAAAUAAAAUUUAGGUGCAGUACAGGCAGUGUUGUGUUACCUGAUAAUAAAGAGAAUAACUUUCUUUAAUUGUAGUGUAUCAUAUUUUUUGGAACAUGAAUUGCAAAGACUAUUAUUUGCCGACGUGCAACGCACGUACAGUCUACUUGUUGAUGUAAUCGGUUCUGGUAACUUGUGUGACCAAUCACAAGUAUUUCCACAUUGAGGUAUAACCGAUCCUAGUGAUUGGUAGAACCGAUUGAACCCAUGAAUGUGAUUUGAUAUUUGAUCAAUCACAUAGUAA